UGGGGAAUUUUGGACAAUGGGGGAAACCCUGAUCCAGCCAUCCCGCGUGUGCGAUGAAGGCCUUCGGGUUGUAAAGCACUUUUGGCAGGAAAGAAACGUCGCGGGUUAAUACCCCGCGAAACUGACGGUACCUGCAGAAUAAGCACCGGCUAACUACGUGCCAGCAGCCGCGGUAAUACGUAGGGUGCAAGCGUUAAUCGGAAUUACUGGGCGUAAAGCGUGCGCAGGCGGUUCGGAAAGAAAGAUGUGAAAUCCCAGAGCUUAACUUUGGAACUGCAUUUUUAACUACCGGGCUAGAGUGUGUCAGAGGGAGGUGGAAUUCCGCGUGUAGCAGUGAAAUGUGUAGAUAUGCGGAGGAACACCGAUGGCGAAGGCAGCCUCCUGGGAUAACACUGACGCUCAUGCACGAAAGCGUGGGGAGCAAACAGGAUUAGAUACCCUGGUAGUCCACGCCCUAAACGAUGUCAACUAGCUGUUGGGGCCUUGCGGCCUUGGUAGCGCAGCUAACGCGUGAAGUUGACCGCCU
rnacentral:rRNA from 1 species